CCUGAGAAACCCAAAAGUUCGAACGGAGAGAUUCAUCGUCAGCGAUCCCGGCGAUGUGCGGUUCGCGAUGCCGCGGGACUUCGGUCCCGCGGCACGCGUCCGUGACUUUUUUUGCCGGGUUCGUCGUCGUGCACUUCUCCCCUAGUAGGACGUCGCGACCCGUUGGGUGUCGGUCUACGACCCGGGUGGCCGUCCGUCAUGUGUCACACGCCUCACGGCGCGUCAUGUGGCGGAGCCCCCGGUUGUCCGACCAGCUGCCCGGCGGUACUCGCACGGUAUUGAGUCGCAAUUCGAACUGCGUCCGGCCCGCCGCAAGCGAGGCCAGUGUUUCCCGGAUGUACGGACUUAGCGCUGUCACCGGGCCUGGCCAGCUGUUUGCCGGCGGUGUCCUGGGACUCGGCUCUAUUACCGGUCGGCGACGCUACUGCUUUGGGUACUUUCAGGACCCGUCUUGAAACACGGACCAAGGAGUCUAACAUGUGCGCGAGUCAUUGGGAUCUGUUAAGCCUAAAGGCGCAAUGAAAGUGAAAGUAGGCCUUGCGCCAACCGAGGGAGGAUGGGCCGCGUUACGAUGCGGUCCCGCACUCCCGGGGCGUCUCGUUCUCAUUGCGAGAA
rnacentral:rRNA from 1 species